UACGAAGGGGGCUAGCGUUGCUCGGAAUCACGGGGCGUAAAGGGUGCGUAGGCGGGUCCUUAAGUCAGGGGUGAAAUCCUGGAGCUCAACUCCAGAACUGCCUUUGAUACUGGCGAUCUUGAGUCCGGGAGAGGUGAGUGGAACUGCGAGUGUAGAGGUGAAAUUCGUAGAUAUUCGCAAGAACACCAGUGGCGAAGGCGGCUCACUGGCCCGGUACUGACGCUGAGGUGCGAAAGCGUGGGGAGCAAACAGG
rnacentral:rRNA from 1 species